CAUUCUUGUGUUCUUAUAAGAAUUCAAUGUGGCUGCCUUCUCUUGGGAUCGAUCCAACACUCGCCAUGGGUUUACCAGCAAAGUGCAGUCUCGAUAUGCCUUCUGAUUGUUGAUUAAGGUAAAUUAACCUUGUCUCUCUCCCCUUUCUUUUUAACUAACAUCGCAUGUAUAUAAUUAAUUCAAAAGAAACAUUAAAGCGUGUUUGGUUCGCUGUAAUAGGUAUACCAUUACUCCCCGAUUACGCGCCUAUUACAUUAUCGACCUAUUCUGGCGUUUGGUUCGCUGUUUUCUCAUUCCGCGCCGAAUCAGUUACUCUCCCAUUACAUUGACUGCGGGUAAUAGGCAUUACGCUCCCUCAGCGCCGAUUACCCAUUCCGCGUCUUUUCCUUUUUUCUCUUCCGUUUUCUGCCCUCGUCCUCAACGCUCCGAUUCUCCCACGCUUCCUUGCACAGGUAAUUUCUUUUCCCUCAUCCUCUUCCGACUUUUCUCAAUUUUUUCCUUUCCAGAUUUCUAUUUCUUCUUCUGGUACGGUACGCUUCUUUUCUUCUCACAUUUCUUUUCUUUUCUCCAUUUUCUUUUCUCCAUAUUUUUGCUUCUUCUUCCAAAUUUUUCCCUGUUUUUCUUUUCUUUUCUUUUCUGUAGAAUCGAUUUUGAUUUUGAUUUUAUUUAUCUUUGUCGAAUUUCGAAACACUUCUAAUCGGGAAUAUCAUAUAAGUUGGAUGCUUUUCAUUCGUGUCUAGACACUCAUCGUCUUCUCUGAGAAUCGAUUUCAUUUGUCAGGUAAAAUUCCCAUAUUUUGCCUAUUAUUUUUUCCCCUUUAUUUGCAUUCUUGCCUGUUGAUUUCUCUGUUCUAUUUUUCUUUCUUUAUAAUUUUUUUCUAAUUCGAGUCUCUUUUUACUAGAUCUAUGUUUUUUCUGCUGUUAUUUAUAAUCUCUUUGCAUGCAAACUAUUGUUUGGGGGGUGAUUUUGGGUUCAAGUUAUUGGGUUUGAAAAUGUUGUUGUUUUCUUUUUUCUUGGUCAAUUUUAGAAGACCAUUUAUAUGUAUGCUGUUCAAAUUUUCUGUUUUGAUUUGAUUUUUUUUCCUGUGAUAGAAUCUUUGAAAUAUUGUUUUCUUUUUCCUCAUUAUAUGUUACAUUAAGGAUAGUUGAUUAGAAGCGGGAUUUUUGUUUGUUGUAGAAUAUAAAUUUGUAGGUCGAAGUUGUAAUUAGUAGGUUACAUUGUGAAUUUGUGUAGUUGAAAUGCUAAGUUGUAGGAGGUGUUGAGUAUUUGUGUAGUUGAAAUGCUAAGUUGUAGGAGGUGUUGAGUAUUUGUAGUAGGUCGAAGUUGUAAUUAGUAGGUUACAUUGUAAUUAGUAGGUUACAUUGUGAAUUUGUGUAGUUGAAAUGCUAAGUUGCGAGGAGUUUAGCAACUUAAAAAGCUAAUUGUAAGCUAUUGUGAUUGGGGAGGUAGUAGUAGGGGCAUCAGGUAUGAUUUUAAUCCUUCUGUUUUUUUCCACUUGUUAACUUUUAUAUAAACCUCUUGAGUAUUAUCUUCUAAACUUUCUGGCUUAUAUUUUUUUUGGUAUAUUUGCUUGACACCUCUGGAGUAAAGUACUUUUUCGAAAUCUCAAUGUUUGUUUCAUUUCUCCUUUCAAUUCCAACAUUGCAAUGUGUUUUUCUCGUCUUUGUUUGCCUAAUAAAGCAGGUACUUUUUUGUUAAAUGUUUUCUUGAUCUGUUGGCCAAGAGUUUGUGCUAAGAUUUGCAUUUCAACUUUAGGUAUUAUUCUUGUUUAUGCUGUGGAGACUCGUAUCUAUAUAUAAACUAAACUAUUGAACCACUUCUGAGUAAUUUGCAAAUAAUGAAUGAACCAGCUUCUCAAGCUAGUAUUAAGCUGUGUCACUUUCAUCUGCGCAUAAUGUGAUGGUUUGAUAGUUGAAAUUAUGGAUGAUCUGAAUCUAGCUAUAGGUGAUUAAAUAUAUGAUCACCAAAGUAGUGGCAUCCAUCUAAAGUAGUUUUCUACCUUCCUGGGCUAAGUUCAGUUAAGUCUAUAUCAUCAUCCUCCCCUUGGCAUAUUGCAUUCAUUUUAGCUAUAGAGUUAUUUGCACAAUUGGUGAUUAUCGUUUGACAUUUCUCAAUCUUCUAUACUGGCCUAGUAGUCAUUCUUCUCUCCUAACCUUUCUCAUAUGUGAUCAACUGUACUGUUUUAUUGCAAGCGCAGUCUCCUAACUACAAUGCUACCCUGAAACAAAUUUUCCCCAAUAUUCAGCAAAUCGAUUCUGAGGUAUUGGCUUAGAAAUUUUGGUAGGUUCUGGACUUUUGUAGUUGAAUGUUCAUAAAUUUGCAAUCACGCGUGUAGUAUGCUAACGGUAACAUCUCCAGUCCCUUGUUGUCUGGAGCUUGUGAGUUUGCAAAUGUUGCUAGGGGAAAACAGGGUUCUGGAAGUGAUCCCUAAUACAUGACAACCAGCAGGAAGCAUGUGAGUGCUUGGUGGGAUGAUAUUAGCAGCAGACCGUCCUAGCAGAAGGUUCUCCAGCUCUAUGCUCCUCAUUUCUAAGAAUUGAAAAUGAUGCAAUCUGGGGAUGGGGUCUUUUUAAUGAUGUAUGCUUUGUUGUUUAGCAGUUUGGUUUGGUUUGGGGUCUGGUCUUUGACUGUUUUAAGAGGCCAACUAGUUAUCCUGUGUUAGUUAUACUUACAAUAAAAUGUUGGUAGGGUUAGGGGGUUACAAUUAUCGUUUUGUUUGCCUAUGUUUGAUAUUAUGAAUAAAGAUGAAGAAAUCAUGGAGAUAUCAAAGAGAACCAAGUGCACAAUUGAAUGUGCUUCAAAGGCAAAUUUUUUCUUUUAUUUUCUAUGGUUUUAUUACUUAUUGAUUUUCUUUUUGUUGGUUUAAAUCUUCGAAAUAAUUGUCCAAAAGGUUUUGGUAGUGUUGGCAUUGGCAUCAAUAAAAGUUUGAGCUUACUAUGAGUAUAAUUUGAACCCAAAUGUGGUAGUGUUGGCAUUGGCAUUAUUUUAAAUUGUAUAAAUUCAUAUAAGAAAAUUUAUUAUCAAAAAUUUUAUGAAAUUUUAUAUUAUUAUUAAAUUAUAUGUAAUAAUUAUUAUUUUAAAUUAUACAAAUUCAUAAAAUAUAAUUUAUUAGUUAUAAUUAUUUUAAAUUUUAUUAAAUCAUAUAUUUAAAUUAAAAUAUAUUUAAUAUUAAUUAUUUAAAAUUUUAUUUUAUAGUAUCAUAUAUUAUGAUUUGAGUAAAUUCAUAUAAGAAUUAAUUAUUAAGAAUUUUAUUAAAUUAUAUUUUAAUUAUAUAUUUAAUAAUAAUUAUGUUAUUUUAUAUUUUACAGUAUCAUAUAUUAUGGUUUGAGUAAAUUCAUAAGAAUAUUAAUUAUUAAGAAUUUUAUUAAAUAUAUAUUUUAAUUAAAAUAUAUUUAAUAAUAAUUAUGUUUAAAUAUGAUUAAAUUAUUAUUAUUGAUAUUAAUAAUCUUAUAAAAUUUAAAUAAAUAAUUUACCAAAACAAAUUUCUGCUAAUUAAGAAUUUUAUUAAAUUAUAUUUAAUUAAUAUAUUAAAUAAUAAUUAUGUUUAAAUAUGAUUAAAUUAUUUAUUUUUGAUAAAUAAUCAUUAAAAUUUAAAUAACAAUAACAAUAAUCAUUUACCAAAACAAAUUUAUGCUAAGGGUAUUCUGGUCAUUUUAGUUUUCUCCAUUAUGCUAUUACACCUCUAUUACAUUCAACCAAACACAGUUUUACUAUUACGCCUCUAUUCCAUUACAUUCAACCAAAUAGUUGAUUUGCUAUUACACCUCUAUUCCAUUACACCUCUAAUCUAAUACACCUCUAAUCCAAUACAGCGAACCAAACGUGCUCAGUGUACAUGAUGUUUCGGGUCUUUUCGGAGGAACAUGAACCAUGAAGCGGCUUCCAUGUUCGUCAGCCUUUCACAAGUUGUUUUUAUUUAUUUGUAUGUGGAAAACUAAGUUUGCAAAUCAUCUAAAUAUAUGUGUAUUAAUUACUAUUUGGUUAUCUAAAUUUGUAUGAAAAAAGUGACUGGAAUUGGCCUUCUAAAUGUUUUUGGUUGUAAAAAACCCAAACCAAAUCCAAAUAUUUUGUACUGAUUUGAAUCUCUUAUUAGUUUACCUUUACAAUCAUAUUGCUUAAAACAUG
rnacentral:lncRNA from 1 species